CUUCGGGUUGUAAACUGCUUUUAUCUGUGACGAUUAUGACGGUAGCAGAUGAAUAAGGAUCGGCUAACUCCGUGCCAGCAGCCGCGGUCAUACGGAGGAUCCAAGCGUUAUCCGGAAUUACUGGGCGUAAAGAGUUGCGUAGGCGGUUAAGUAAGUUGGUAGUGAAAGCGUGGGGCUCAACCUCAUAUCCAUUACCAAAACUGCUUUGACUAGAGAAUGAGAGAGGUCGCUGGAAUUUCUUGUGUAGGAGUGAAAUCCGUAGAUAUAAGAAGGGACACCGAUGGCGUAGGCAGGCGACUGGCUCAUUUCUGACGCUCAGGCACGAAAGCGUGGGGAGCGACCGGGAUUAGAUACCCCGUUAGUCCACGCCGUAAACGAUGGAUGCUAGCUGUUACCCGUAUCGACCCGGGUAGUAGCGAAGCUAACGCGUUAAGCAUCCCGCCUGUGGAGUACGAGCGCAAGCUUAAAACAUAAAGGAAUUGACGGGGACCCGCACAAGCGGUGGAGUGUGUUCUUUAAUUCGAUGGUAAGCGAAGAACCUUACCCAGGCUCGAACGGUAGACGACAUCCGGCGAAAGCCGGCUCCCGCAAGGGCGUCUGUCGAGGUGCUGCAUGGCUGUCGUCAGCUCGUGUCGUGAGAUGUUGGGUUAAGUCCCGCAACGAGCGCAACCCUUGUCUUCUGUUGCCAUCAGGUCACGCU
rnacentral:rRNA from 1 species